UUUGGCCUACGGGGCGCAGCAGUGAGGCAUAUUGGUCAAUGGGCGCGAGCCUGAACCAGCCAAGUAGCGUGAAGGACGACUGCCCUACGGGUUGUAAACUUCUUUUAUAAAGGAAUAAAGUGAGGCACGUGUGCCUUUUUGUAUGUACUUUAUGAAUAAGGAUCGGCUAACUCCGUGCCAGCAGCCGCGGUAAUACGGAGGAUCCGAGCGUUAUCCGGAUUUAUUGGGUUUAAAGAGAGCGUAGAUGGGUUGUUAAGUCAGUUGUGAAAGUUUGCGGCGCAACCGUAAAAUUGCAAUUGAUACUG
rnacentral:rRNA from 1 species